GCACACACGCACGCACACACACUCGCACACACGCAGAGGCACGGGAGGGAAAGAAGCCGAUGAAUAAUUUUGCUAUUUUUUAAAAUACUGGCCGCCAUCAUCAAGCAGCGAGCAGCAGCAGAAGCGUUGAAGGGAGAGGAGGCAUCGGGACAGGCCCCUCUUAGGAGAGGAUUUAUAUCUAGUUGGAAAAAAAAAGAAAGAAAAGAAAAAGAAGAAAAAGAAGAAAAAAAUUGUCAAGCCCCCGAACUGAAGGUUACGAGCGGCCCGUCAGCAGCCCACAUGUAACCGAACUGUCGUGUUUCAUGGCUUUUUGCCACUCCAGCUGUCAAUCAAAGCCCGGAAUGUCAAGGUAGUGAAUGAAUGAUGGUUGAUGAUGAUGAAGAGGAGGAAUCUUUCAGACCCGUUUUUUUCUUCCAGUAAAACUCCGCGAGGGGUUUCUGCUUCUUGAAUUUUUUCCUCCCCCCUCCCCCCUUUUUUAGCUUUGCCCCCGCGGUAUCUAUAAUACGAUCCUCUCUCUUUAAAGUAUUGUUCAAAGAAAGCAGUGAGAAAAAUCAAGAAAAAAAAAUGAAUAGUUUGCAAAAAUUGGACUUCCUCCCCCCCUUUCCUGGACCAGAAGAGACCAGCUUAACUCAGAGCACACUCCCUCCAAGCGGUGCGGACAAGGGGCCACCCCGAGAGUCUUUGGGGGCCGCGGCGGAAUCGGGAGGGAGGAAAACUCCAAGAUUAAAAGUAUCCUUAUUUGUUGCUGAGUUGCUCGUCGACAUUUAAGAGAAGGUGAGUAAAAAAGAAAAGAAGAUGAAAGAGAAAAGAAAAAGUUGGUCUCCAGAAUUUUAUUUCAAUCGACAGUUACGCGAAUUCAGUUUAGCCGGGACCGGGAGGUUUGAGAGUGCGGCGGGGUGGGGAGGGGAAAAAAACAAAAACGCUGCGGAGCGUUUUCGACUUUGCAAAGCUGUUGAUGUUGGUGGGUCCAAGUUCCCGGUGCAGCGCCGCUGGCUGAGAAAUUUGUACUCAGUUUUUACUCUUCUAAUUAUUCUUAAAUUCAAUUUAAGAAUUUAAGUUUAUCGUCGCCAAUAGGAUUAUUGUUGUUUUAAAUGUCUUGUUCAAUAAGUGCCAGUUACGUUUCUUUUUAAAAGAAAUUCCUCAGUGUCCUUGAUAAACCUUUUUUUGUAAAGAUCAACUUCAUGCGGAACCUCUGCCUUGCAGGGUUUAAACAUUCAACAUUGCUACCUUCUGUUUCUUUUUCUGUUUUUAUAGUGAUACUGUAAAGUGAGUUAGCAUCUCUAUAGCUUUCAUUUAGAAAAACUUAAGUCGCAUUUUUAGAAAAAUAUUCCUUCCCUUGCAGUGUGAGUAAAAACAACUCAGACAGAUUGAUGAUUUCUAUAUUUUCUUUUCUUUCUUUAUCUUCUUUUUCUUUUUUUCUUUUCUUUUCUUUUUUUUUCUUUUUUUUUGAGACGGAGUCUCGCUUUGUCGCCCAGGCUGGAGUGCAAUGGCGCGAUCUCGGCUCACUGCAACCUCCGCCUCCCGGGUUCAAGCGAUUCUCCUGCCUCAGCCUCUUGAGUAGCUGGGAUUACAGGGGCGCGCCACCACGCCCGGCUAAUUUUUUGUGUCUUUAAUAGAGACGGGGGUUUCACCAUAUUGGCCAGGCUGGUCUCGAACUCCUGACCUCCUGAUCCACCCGCCGCGGCCUCUCAAAGUGCUCGAAUUACAGGCGUGAGCCAUCGCACCCGGCCGAUUUCUAUGUUUUCAAACAAUUGUAAGCUAAUAAUGAGUUGAUUAUCUGGUGAUAAUCUUGGGUUUUACAAAAAAAGAAAAGUUUAAACUUUAUUUUCAUGUGUUUUUAUCAGAUGCAGAAGGCAUUUUUAACCUUAACGCCUUUCUCUGUCUCUCUCUUUCAUAUUCUUAACUUCUUUUGCAUUUUAUUGAAUACAUUAAAGCAAACAACAGGAACAAUAUGGUUAGGUGUAGGAGGGAGAGAGAAAUAUGACAUUUUAAGAUAUUGUCAAAAAGUCAUAUUUAACUUCAACGACUUUUAGUUAAAAAAGUGUGAGAGUGUUGAAAGUGCAUUCCUACUGGAGGAAAUCUAUGUCUUUUUAAAAUUUGCCAGUUGUCUCAGGGGAGAACCCAGAAUUUCUUUGAACGAAAGAGAUCUUACUGAUCUAGUUGCAUGUCACUUAUGAAACUGUUAGUUUAAAAUAGCAGUCCUAGUGUAGUGGAUUACACAUGAGGAGAUCAAGUUGGAGUCGAUUCAAGGUAUUGGUUCUUGGUCAGUCUGCUGAAUUCAAAACACUAUUACCUUUAAUCAGCAACUUGCGGGUGUUUUAUUAAUAGAGCUGAAAAAGGCUCAUCUAACAUAUAAGAAUUUCCUGGUUUCCCUCAUCCCCAAUUUUCCAGUCCAAUAGAAGCGAUUCCAAAGGAGUAGGGUACCCGCACUUACUGAUUUCCAUCCUGGUGGCAUUUUGCUAAUGCCCCAUUGUCAGCGUUGGCACUCCCACCCAGGCUUCCAGGCUCAUCUGCUCUCCCAUAUUUGGGGUGAAAGGAAAGUAGGUGGGGCAGGCCCGGGAGACAGGCACGAAAUGGGGGUCGCAGGAGGUGGCACACACCUCCGUCAACAGUCAGCUCCUUCUGCCCAGGCUGGAAAUGGUUUUAACAGGCGGUAAAAUUUCAUCUUGCGGUGUCAAAUUGGGGUCAUUUUGGGGUUAGAGUUCUCAGUGUCCGAGAGGAGCUGUCCAGCUGCGUGGGGACUCAUUAACUGCAAAAGAUCUGUUUCAGUAAAAACAAUUCAAAGACAAUCAGAAGGCUAAAGACCCUCUACAAAUCGCAUUUUACAAGUGCCCCAGAACAAAUAUGGAUGGUGAAACCUAUUUCUUCAGAAUCCCAAAUCAGCUACUUAGCUCUGGAGUGGGGGUGGGGGUACUGCAUAAAAAAGAGGUGAAAAGGAGGGGACCAAGCGGGUGGGGACCAGUGGAAGGGGGAAUCGGGCCUCUCAAAUUUAAGAGUCUGUUUUUAAUCACCUCUUUCUUAUUGAAGCAGCCCCAAGAGUUCUGAAAACUGCUACUUUUCUAUUUUUCAUUUUCUUUUUUUGAGCCAACAUGGAAUGCUAUUAUAGGUAACAUUUAAGAUUUAAAAGGAAUAAUUGAAUUCCACUAUAGUCCCUUAAUUUGAAGGGCAUUGGCUUUAUGGGGAGUGUUUAAUUUGAACCAAGAAUUUAUGAACCCAGACUCUAGGUGAAUUUGCCCACACUCCUUAAGGAGCUUGUGUAGCUGUUUCUUUUUCUUUUCCUUGAAAGUUAUAGCUUCUUAGCACAGAUAACUUCAAAUUCCUCAGAACUGAGAAGUCCAAAGUGUUAAUCUGUGUAUUAAAAUCGCCAGGUUUAAAUCCUUUUUGUCUUCUUACAACAGUUAGAACAAUUGACGCCUUGCUAGAGAAGCAAAUAAGUCCAACCUUAAUCUUAUCUGUAACUUUAUUUAAUGUUUUGAUUUGGAAUAUUUUGGAUUAAGCAUAUCUUUAAAAACUCUGUAAGGUUAAUUUUUAUUCCGGGAGGGAAGUUCUCUUUACUGAUUUUGAAAAAAGACAUGAAUUAUUACUUUGAUUUUCAAAAAUUCCUUCAGGUAAAAGGAAAAUUCAGGUUUAAAAUGAGAAGCUAGAUAUGUGAAAUGCCAGAGAUUUUAGGAUAAAACCAAGUCAAUACUUAAAAGUAAAGUAUCAUUUGAAAGAAAUUUUAUUUCUUGCAUUACUGAACUGAGCAAGUAACAGUGAUCAAAAAUAUGUUAUUCUCUCUCCAUCUCUCUCUCUCUCUGGACUCCACUUCUGUCACUAGGUCUUCUCUUUCCAUCCCCAGCACUUUUCUUUGGGUUCUGAAUGACACAGUGAUUUUUUUUUUUUGUAGUCUAGUUAUUUUCUCCAAGCGUCUCAGAGUAUUUCUAAAUUGUUAUUCAAGGAGUUUGAUUUCAGCCCUGCAGAAACAGCCCUGAGCCCAGCAUCGCUGGGACAAAGGCAGAAGGGGCUAUCUUCUGUUCAAGACCUGCUGGCUGACAGUUGGAAUUUUUGAUAUAUAUUUUAUUUGGCGUUUCCAAUAACGUGUUUGUCUUUCCCUCUCCACCCCUUGCAGCCAUCUAUUACUUUUAAAACAUCCCUUCUCCAUAAACAUCGGCUCAUCCUUGUGAACUAUUCUUGACCUUCCCAGCAGUGUAACCAGCAGCUCUGAAAGUUGGCCUAGAAAUAAUUCCACUGGCUUCCUUACCUGUUAACUUUACUCACUCUUCCUAGCUGGGAUCAACAGAAGGAAGGGGACUUUUUUGUUUGCUUUUGUUGUUGUUGGUGGUGGUGGUGGUGGUGGUGGUGGUUUUUGGUUCUUUGGUCCUUUUCCCACUUAAACUUUCUAUAAUGAUUUAUUCUCCGCCUCCUCCCAUUAAUAACGUUUAAGCACCCCACACUUUAUUUUUUAAAUAAAAUGGAGUAAAAUUAUUAUACUUUUUUCCUUUAUGCCCCCUUUUCUUUUAUUUCUCCCAAUUUUAGGGGCUUCACCAUCUCAUAGAAAGGACUUCAAUAAAUAGCCCUCUAGCGCUAUCUGGCGGGGCUCCAAACACGACGUGCGCUUGCUCUCACUGUUUCUUCCUCCUUCCCGCGCUCUCUUCUUUCCUCUCUUUCUUCCUCUCUCCUGCUUUUUCUCUCGUCUCUUCCGCUCGAUUGUUUUCCUCUUUUUUUCUGUCCUCCUGCGGCCUCUUGUCUAGUUCCUACCCCUACUUCAGCGCAGGCGGCUUGGAAAGCCCCGGCCAGAGGCUAGUAACUCUCGCAAGUGGGAGAUGCUCUGGCGACGGAUCUCUCUUUUCUGAUCCCUCCUCCCCCUUACCCAGCGCGGAUCACACACAUCCUUUGCCUUUGAUUAGCAUCUUAAAGUUGCUUAGCGUGCCGCUUAAGUCCCAGCGUCUCAGCUGGCGGUGGUUUGGAGAGGCUUAAAACUGCAUUCAUGAAGUUUGGAGGAAAGAAAUCAGACACUGGAAUUCAGGGCUAGGAGCCCAGCUCAGUUUUAGGUCAGAAGGCCGAGUCUCAGUGCGAGAUUGAGGAAGGGUCGGGGCUUAACGGGGGAGGUGGGGGUGGCGGGGGGGGGAACAGCACGGCGCGGCGCCUAGCCUGCGAGAUGGAGUCGGAGUGGGGGUGCGAGCGGUCCUCCACCGCCUCUGCCCGAUCCGUACCUCACAAUGGACUGCUCGAGUUUGUAUCUAGGCCUGUCCAGGAUUGUUUACUCCUUCAAUUAAUCAGCUUUAUCUCUUUUCCCCCUCCCCCCACCUCCACCAAAUCUGGAGAGGAGUGGGAAAGAACUGGAAAACUCACAGGGCAAAGAGAGAAAGCCAACAGUCAUAGUGCGGGAGGAGGCACGCCUGGGAUGCAAUACCCAACAGUCUCCUCCCUGCUUUCCUGCAAUUUGCAGGUCAUUGUCUUUCUUAUUUGUAGCUUUUUUUUUUUUUCUUCAGUAGCCGGUAAACAAUCGAACGCCGGGUAGGGAGGUCAGAGGGGAUGGGGCUGUGGGAGAGAUUCUACUCAGGCUAGGUGCUUUAGAUUUGGACCUGGCUGUGUCCCUACUUUAUUAAAAUUCUCAUGUGGCGCGCGCUGUCUUCUCUCUUCUCUCUCUCUCUCUCUCACACACACACGCACAUACACACACAGCCCGAGAGAAAUUUCCAAUCUUUGAGCAAAUCUCUUCCAUCUAGUCCUUGAAACAGAGGAAAGGACAUGGGACCUGAAGGAGAGUUAUGAUUGAAUUUUCUAAAAUUUAGUUUUGACAUUGCAAAGUAAAAGUGAGGACCGUAUUCCCAAUACAGACCCAGAGGGUGGUUAUUUCAGGUGAGGGGACCUCAGCCUGUGACGUCUAUGAUCAACCAGACAAAGACCCCUUCCUAAAUCUGAAGUCCCACCCCCACCCGUGGCAAACAUGGAAUACAAGGGAGGGGAAGGAUGGCACAAUAGUGGGUUCUGUUUUCCAAGAACUGCCCCCCACCUCCAUUGCAGAAGGAAAAAAAAGCACGGUUCGGGUGUAAUUAAUUGGGGACUGUUAUUAGGUCAUCAUUAGCCAAGGUACAAAUAAUAGCAGCACAUUUUUACUUAAAAUUGACCAGCCCCAGAGUGAUAGAUCGAUUUGGAGUAUAAAAAGAUGUAUCAAAACAUCAAUGUCGAUUAUUUGAAAUAUUGUAGUCGAAUUUUUUUUAUUGCUUCAUCGGUUAAGUGUCUGAAAAUGCAGUGUUCAAACAUAUAUUUAUGUUGUCAAUACUGUCAGAACUGUCAGUUUUACUAUACUGGAUUUGUACUAUAUUUCAAAUAUGCUAAUUUACAUAAAAUGCCCACCCUAGGAUUCCCCCCCUACACCCACCCCAUCUCUGGAAAAUCCGUGUCAGUUUCUUCAAAGGAUUCAGCAAUCUUUGCCUAAGCUAAAGUGUGCACUACCUCUUUUACUCAAUUUUCCACAUCGGAUUACAUGUCUUUUUCACCAUCUCUAACUUUCAAAGAGAUCCUUCUUCCUUUCUCCCCAAUUCUGCCUACUCUAACCUCUUCUUCAAAAUAGUACUGAGGCACUUGGAAAGCUUCGAAUUUAAAUAUCCACAUCCCAGCUCCAAAUAUACCAUUGGAGUAAAAAAACGGAAAAACUGGACUUGAGUGUACUUGGCCGCACUCGGGUAAACCAGGCUUCACCAGGUAGACGUUCUCAUACCGUAAGGGUCCAUCAUCAAAUUACCUGGCAGAUUGAAAUCUUCCAGGGAAAAUGAAUUUGGAAAUGUAAACACCUUUUCUUUCUUUUUACUUAAAAGCCUCGAUGGUAGAAAAAGAAAUAAUACUUAUAAAUGAUCGGCACGUUUUAACUUUAAAAGCUUUUGAACUCAAGUGAAAGACACACGUUGGAAACAGAAUUGAUAGUUUUAAUUCUACCCAUUUUCACCUGGCACAUCAGAUCAGUGGCAAUCAUUUAUUUUAUGGGGUGUGGAGGGGAAAGGGAUAGAAAGCGGAUAGAAAGCUAGAAUCCACUGAAGUCCCUGUCCUAAAAAUCUCAGAGAAAUUAAAGACUUAUUGAAACACAAACAUUCCAUCGCUCCAUACUCUCCGUCCAGAUGAAUUGAAACUUAUAAAUCCACGCUCUCCCCAAUUUUAUGUUUUUUAUUUAUUUUUUUUCAGGGUUUGAUAGGAAAGAUACCCAAGUCUGAUAGGGAAGACAGGGCCACUUCUGGACUAGCUGUGAGGAUGUGUUUUCAUUUCCAUAACACUGAAGCACUUUCUGUAAACCUUUUGAUGUACUUAAAUAAGUCUAUUUGGACAUUUAAAGAAGCUACACAUACAAACAUAGCUUGGCUUUUUGCCGUCAAUCCCAGCAUUAAAAAAACAUUCAUAAUCUAACUGAGAAGCUCUUUCAUACCCAUCCUUCUUUCAAAUAAGUAAAUAAAUAAAGAAAUAGAAGUGCAAACCAAAGAAAGUUUCCAGCGUGCAUCUGUACGUCUUCGUGUGCGAGUUUAUAAACAACUUCCAGUCGGUACUUGGGUGUUACCUCCCUCCUGCCACACACCCCAAGGCAGAGGCAUCGAGGGAUCGCCCCCAGAGAGCUGUGUUUACUUAGCUUGUUUUAAAAAAAAUCUCGCCGCCAUGUAUGACAAGUGUUACUGCAAGAAAUUCAUCAGCCUUCUACAGAUACUUCCAGUUUUGCUGUAAUGAUCUGCAGAAGAGAACUGCCAUCACUUUCUCACAUCCCAAGGUGUUGCAGGAACUCAGAGAGAGGGGAGAGUGGCUGAAACGCUUAAUUACCGGAGGCGAAGGAGGGGCGCGCGGGGGACCGAAGGAGAGGGGAGUGAAGAAGGAAGGUCCUUUACCAGGCUUGUACCUGGAGAAAGCUUUGAAUCGCUUCUCUGCUAUAUUUGGAAAAGGUAUGCUUGCUUUUUAAAAAAAUGCCUUUAGGGCAAAGUGAUACCCUUGUGUAAUAAUUAACUCAGACAAUAAAAAUAAUUGGA
rnacentral:lncRNA from 1 species